UACGGGGGGGAGCAAGCGUUGUUCGGAUUUACUGGGCGUAAAGGGCGCGUAGGCGGUCGUGACAAGUCACUUGUGAAAUCUCCGGGCUUAACUCGGAACGGUCAAGUGAUACUGUCGGACUAGAGUACAGAAGGGGCAACUGGAAUUCUCGGGUGUAGCGGUGAAAUGCGCAGAUAUCGGGAGGAACACCUAUGGCGAAGGCAGCUCGCUGGGACGUUACUGACGCUGAGACGCGAAAGCGUGGGGAGCAAACAGG
rnacentral:rRNA from 1 species